AGAGUUUGAUCAUGGCUCAGAUUGAACGCUGGCGGCAGGCUUAACACAUGCACGGGGAAGGGUAGCUUGCUACCUGACCUAGCGGCGGACGGGUGAGUAAUGCUUUGCCUAUUAGUGGGGGACAACAUCUCGAAAGGGAUGCUAAUACCGCAUACGUCAGAAAGCAGGGGAUCUUCGGACCUUGCGCUAAUAGAUGAGCCUAAGUCGGAUUUGGUGGGGUAAAGGCCUACCAAGGCGACGAUCUGUAGCGGGUCUGAGAGGAUGACACUGGGACUGAGACACGGCCCAGACUCCUACGGGAGGCAGCAGUGGGGAAUAAUGGGGGGAACCCUGAUCCAGCCAUGCCGCGUGUGUGAAGAAGGCCUUAUGGGCACUUUAAGCGAGGAGGAGGCUACUUUAGAUAAUACCUAGAGAUAGUGGACGCAGAAUAAGCACCGGCUAACUCUGUGCCAGCAGCCGCGGUAAUACAGAGGGUGUAAUCGGAUUUACUGGGCGUAAAGCGCGCGUAGGCGGCUAAUUAAGUCAAAUGCCCGAGCUUAACUUGGGAAUUGCAUUCGAUACUGGUUAGCUAGAGUGUGGGAGUAGAAUUCCAGGUGUAGCGGUGAAAUGCGUAGAGAUCUGGAGGAAUACCGAUGCAGCCAUCUGGCCUAACACUGACGCUGAGGUGCGAAAGCAUGGGGAGCAAACAAUACCCUGGUAGUCCAUGCCGUAAACGAUGUCUACUAGCCGUUGGGGCCUUUGAGUGGCGCAGCUAACGCGAUAAGUAGACCGCCUGGGGAGUACGGUCGCAAGACCAAAUGAAUUGACGGGGGCCCGCACAAGCGGUGGAGCAUGUGGUUUAAUUCGACGAAGAACCUUACCUGGCCUUGACAUAGUAAGAACUUUCCAGAGAUGGAUUGGGGGAACUUACAUACAGGUGCUGCAUGGCUGUCGUCAGCUCGUGUCGUGAGAUGAAGUCCCGCAACGAGCGCAACCCUUUUCCUUAUUUGCCAGCGAGUAAUGUCGGAAGGAUACUGCCAGUGACAAACUGGAGGAAGGCGGGGACGACGUCAAGUCAUCUUACGGCCAGGGCUACACACGUGCUACAAUGGUCGGUACAAAGGGUUGCUACAGUGAUGCUAAUCUCAAAAAGCCGAUCGUAGUCCGGAUUGGAGUCUGCAACUCGGAAGUCGGAAUCGCUAGUAAUCGCGGAUCAGAAUGCCGCGGUGAAUACGUUCCUGUACACACCGCCCGUCACACCAUGGGAGUUUGUUGCACCAGAAGUAGCUAGCCAAAGAGGGCGGUUACCACGGUGUGGCCGAUGACUGGGGUGAAGUCGUAACAAGUAGGGGAACCU
rnacentral:rRNA from 1 species